rnacentral:rRNA from 1 species
GAUGAACGCUGGCGGCGUGCCUAAUACAUGCAAGUCGAGCGAACAGACGAGGAGCUUGCUCCUCUGACGUUAGCGGCGGACGGGUGAGUAACACGUGGAUAACCUACCUAUAAGACUGGGAUAACUUCGGGAAACCGGAGCUAAUACCGGAUAAUAUAUUGAACCGCAUGGUUCAAUAGUGAAAGACGGUUUUGCUGUCACUUAUAGAUGGAUCCGCGCCGCAUUAGCUAGUUGGUAAGGUAACGGCUUACCAAGGCAACGAUGCGUAGCCGACCUGAGAGGGUGAUCGGCCACACUGGACCUGAGACACGGUCCAGACUCCUACGGGAGGCAGCAGUAGGGAAUCUUCCGCAAUGGGCGAAAGCCUGACGGAGCAACGCCGCGUGAGUGAUGAAGGUCUUCGGAUCGUAAAACUCUGUUAUUAGGGAAGAACAAAUGUGUAAGUAACGAUGCACGUCUUGACGGUACCUAAGCAGAAAGCCACGGCUAACUACGU